UUUUGAAGUAAAAAAGCGUACCAAGGUUUCGGUAGGUGACCUUGCGGAAGGAU
rnacentral:rRNA from 1 species